AACGAACGCUGGCGGCAUGCCUAACACAUGCAAGUCGAACGAGAUCUUCGGGUCUAGUGGCGCACGGGUGCGUAACGCGUGGGAAUCUGCCCUUUGGUUCGGAAUAACAGUUGGAAACGACUGCUAAUACCGGAUGAUGACGAAAGUCCAAAGAUUUAUCGCCAGAGGAUGAGCCCGCGUAGGAUUAGCUAGUUGGUGUGGUAAAGGGGCACCAAGGCGACGAUCCUUAGCUGGUCUGAGAGGAUGAUCAGCCACACUGGGACUGAGACACGGCCAAGACUCCUACGGGAGGCAGCAGUGGGGAAUAUUGGACAAUGGGAGAAAACCUGAUCCAGCAAUGCCGCGUGAGUGAUGAAGGCCUUAGGGUUGUAAAGCUCUUUUACCCGGGAUGAUAAUGACAGUACCGGGAGAAUAAGCUCCGGCUAACUCCGUGCCAGCCGCCGCCGUAA
rnacentral:rRNA from 1 species